ACGAACGCUGGCGGCGUGCUUAACACCUGCCAGUCGCACGGAAAGGCCCUGCUUUUGUGGGGUGCUCGAGUGGCGAACGGGUGAGUAACACGUGAGUAACCUGCCCUUGACUUUGGGAUAACUUCAGGAAACUGGGGCUAAUACCGGAUAGGAGCUCCUGCUGCAUGGUGGGGGUUGGAAAGUUUCGGCGGUUGGGGAUGGACUCGCGGCUUAUCAGCUUGUUGGUGGGGUAGUGGCUUACCAAGGCUUUGACGGGUAGCCGGCCUGAGAGGGUGACCGGCCACAUUGGGACUGAGAUACGGCCCAGACUCUUACGGGAGGCAGCAGUGGGGAAUAUUGCACAAUGGGCGGAAGCCUGAUGCAGCAACGCCGCGUGCGGGAUGACGGCCUUCGGGUUGUAAACCGCUUUCGCCUGUGACGAAGCGUGAGUGACGGUAAUGGGUAAAGAAGCACCGGCUAACUACGUG
rnacentral:rRNA from 1 species